rnacentral:SRP_RNA from 1 species
GCCAGGCGUAGUGGCAUGCGCCUGUAAUCCCAGCUACUCGGGAGGCUGAGGCAGGAGAUUCGCUUGAACUCAGGAGGCAGAGGUUGCAGUGAGCCGAGAUCGGCCACUACAUUCUAGCCUGGGUGACAGAGUGAGACUCUGUCUCUA